GACGAAGGAUGCAAGCGUUAUCCGGAUUCAUUGGGUUUAAAGGGUGCGUAGGUGGGCAGGUAAGUCAGUGGUGAAAUCUCUGGGCUUAACCCGGAAACUGCCGUUGAUACUAUCUGUCUUGAAUAUAGUGGAGGUGAGCGGAAUAUGUCAUGUAGCGGUGAAAUGCUUAGAUAUGACAUAGAACAUCGAUUGCGAAGGCAGCUCGCUACACUAUGAUUGACACUGAGGCACGAAAGCGUGGGGAUCAAACAGG
rnacentral:rRNA from 1 species